rnacentral:tRNA from 1 species
AUUACUUUGGCAGAUUAGUGCUAUGAAUUUAGAAUUCAUUUAUGUAAUUUUUAUUACAGGUAAUA